rnacentral:rRNA from 1 species
CCCAGACUCCUACGGGAGGCAGCAGUGGGGAAUAUUGCACAAUGGGGGAAACCCUGAUGCAGCGACGCCGCGUGAAGGAUGAAGUAUUUCGGUAUGUAAACUUCUAUCAGCAGGGAAGAAAAUGACGGUACCUGACUAAGAAGCCCCGGCUAACUACGUGCCAGCAGCCGCGGUAAUACGUAGGGGGCAAGCGUUAUCCGGAUUUACUGGGUGUAAAGGGAGCGUAGGCGGUGUAGCAAGUUAGAAGUGAAAUACCUAGAGCUUAACUCAGGUGCUGCUUCUAAAACUGCUAUACUUGAGUGCAGUAGAGGAAAGUGGAAUUCCUAGUGUAGCGGUGGAAUGCGUAGAUAUUAGGAGGAACAUCAGUGGCGAAGGCGACUUUCUGGACUGUAACUGACGCUGAGGCACGAAAGUGUGGGGAGCAAACAGGAUUAGAUACCCGGGUA